CCUACGGGAGGCAGCAGUGGGGAAUAUUGGGCAAUGGGCGCAAGCCUGACCCAGCGACGCCGCGUGGGGGAUGAAGGCCUUCGGGUUGUAAACCCCUGUCAGGGGAGACGAAAGUCCUGCGCCUAACAGGUGCAGGAUCUGACGGUACCCCCAAAGGAAGCCCCGGCUAACUCCGUGCCAGCAGCCGCGGUAAUACGGAGGGGGCGAGCGUUAUUCGGAAUUACUGGGCGUAAAGCGCGCGCAGGUGGCGCGGUAAGUGACAGGUGAAAGCCCUCGGCUC
rnacentral:rRNA from 1 species